GCGCGAUUAUUCGUUAAUUCCGCCAUUGUGUUUUUUGAAGUUUAAGCGUCAUUAGUUCUUGUGGUGGAGAGAAGCGUUGAACAUAGUGAUUGACAGGUGUAUCACAUUAUCAGGAAGCGUGUGUUGAAGCUGUAUAAAAAUGAGGCUACAUCGCAGCAUCCAAACCUCAACGUUCAACGGAUUCUGCUUGGAAACGGAAGCACGGACACGGACACGGGCGUGAGCCAAGUGGCUAUUAGGAGCAUCGAGCGGAGAAAUUAAAGAAGUUAAGGUUCUAGCGGAAAUGCUGAAUCUCGCACGGCACCGAAGGGACUAGACUAGACAAAUCGUACACGUUGAAAAAAGCUUGCCAGGUGACGGAGGGUCGAAAGACGGCAGGUUAGAACGCUACACCUUGGUUCCGUGGAUAUCGUGGACGUCCCUGAAAUAACACGAGACGCCGAAGGUGGCGACCCUGUAGGUGGCAGUCGCGCUGGGUUCCUGUUACACGAUGCGAAUCCGGCACUGGCGCCCCAGUCAUGCCAACCGAUGGUGGGGGGACAGUUACGUUUCACGUGACACGCUGGCGCCUUGGUGGUAGGGAUCGAUCCGUGAUCACGUGACCGUUGGCGCCGAGAUGGUGGGGACGCACCUACCACCCCUUCGGGAAGAACGAACUGGAGAAGAGCGAACCACGGCAGGAAGACCGGCGGCAUUCUGACCUGGUAAGUCGCCAGUGUCGGAUCGUGAGAAAGUGAAUAAGACUAAAGCAUCGGAGGACAUUUAAAUCGACCGUGUAAGCGACAAUCGUUUUUAAAAGCGAAACGGUUUCGCCGCGAACUGUCUACGACGCGGACGCAAUUGACGGAUUACGAGCUACGCCAAACCAAAUUACGCUUAUUUAUUACAAUUCCUACGUCGUACGAACCUUCGUCCGAUCAUUUUUAUUCGUUCGCUACCAGUGUGUGUUGACGCGCUAUUGUAACGCGUUUUCGGUUCUUUCUUGCUCUUUAUCCUGGAUCGAGAGAGACCGUUCCGACGAAACCGAGGAUACGCGAAGAAAAACAGGAAGAGUCAAACACAGAAGAAAAGAAGAAAAGAAAAAAAGGUACUAUACAAGAUCGAGAGACCGGUAGCUACUUUGGACAGCGAGAAUAGGAGAGACGAAAGUAAAGUGUGUUGUGCAUGGAACGCAAGGGAUAACAAAAUCGGUAGACCAGCUUUUUUUCCCACAACUUUGUCGAACCCCGACAGAUUCUCGCCGUUGUAUAUAUUGUUUUCGCGUAAACGGCCUUUAGGUGAGUGAUAUUCGAAGUCAUCGCCCGAAACCAAGGUCCUGUUACGUGUAUAUAUACACGCGUACGCACACGUUCGACACGCGUGUAUUCCUCUGUUAGUUUUAUUUUGUGAAGUGUUGAGCAGUGUCCUGGGCGAGGUAAGCGUCUUGCCGUGCGAAUUCGUGCCAACUUCUCUAGCCGUGGCCGUAUCUUUACGAUCGAUUUGUGCAUGCUCU